CCUACGGGAGGCAGCAGUAAGGAAUAUUGGACAAUGGUCGCAAGACUGAUCCAGCCAUGCCGCGUGCAGGAUGACGGCCCUAUGGGUUGUAAACUGCUUUUAUACGGGAAAAAACCUCUCUACGUGUAGAGAGCUGAUUGUACUGUAAGAAUAAGGAUCGGCUAACUCCGUGCCAGCAGCCGCGGUAAUACGGAGGAUCCAAGCGUUAUCCGGAUUCAUUGGGUUUAAAGGGUGCGUAGGCGGAAUGAUAAGUCAGUGGUGAAAGCCUGUUGCUCAACAACAGAACUGCCAUUGAUACUGUCAAUCUUGAGUACAUUUGAUGUGGGCGGAAUGUGUCAUGUAGCGGUGAAAUGCUUAGAUAUGACACAGAACACCGAUUGCGAAGGCAGCUCACAAAACUGUAAACUGACGCUGAGGCACGAAAGCGUGGGUAUCAAACAGGAUUAGAUACCCUGGUAGUCCACGCUGUAAACUAUGAUUACUCGAUGUUUGCGAUACACUGUAAGCGUCUAAGCGAAAGCGAAUAAGUAAUCACCNGGGAGUACGCCGGCAACGGUGAAACUCAAAUAGAAUUGGACGG
rnacentral:rRNA from 1 species